UCCUGGGGCAGCCUACACAUGCAAGUCGAGCGGUAGCACAGAGAGCUUGCUCUCGGGUGACGAGCGGCGGACGGGUGAGUAAUGUCUGGGAAACUGCCUGAUGGAGGGGGAUAACUACUGGAAACGGUAGCUAAUACCGCAUAACGUCGCAAGACCAAAGUGGGGGACCUUCGGGCCUCAUGCCAUCAGAUGUGCCCAGAUGGGAUUAGCUAGUAGGUGGGGUAACGGCUCACCUAGGCGACGAUCCCUAGCUGGUCUGAGAGGAUGACCAGCCACACUGGAACUGAGACACGGUCCAGACUCCUACGGGAGGCAGCAGUGGGGAAUAUUGCACAAUGGGCGCAAGCCUGAUGCAGCCAUGCCGCGUGUGUGAAGAAGGCCUUCGGGUUGUAAAGCACUUUCAGCGGGGAGGAAGGCGAUAAGGUUAAUAACCUUGUCGAUUGACGUUACCCGCAGAAGAAGCACCGGCUAACUCCGUGCCAGCAGCCGCGGUAAUACGGAGGGUGCAAGCGUUAAUCGGAAUUACUGGGCGUAAAGCGCACGCAGGCGGUCUGUCAAGUCGGAUGUGAAAUCCCCGGGCUCAACCUGGGAACUGCAUUCGAAACUGGCAGGCUAGAGUCUUGUAGAGGGGGGUAGAAUUCCAGGUGUAGCGGUGAAAUGCGUAGAGAUCUGGAGGAAUACCGGUGGCGAAGGCGGCCCCCUGGACAAAGACUGACGCUCAGGUGCGAAAGCGUGGGGAGCAAACAGGAUUAGAUACCCUGGUAGUCCACGCCGUAAACGAUGUCGAUUUGGAGGUUGUGCCCUUGAGGCGUGGCUUCCGGAGCUAACGCGUUAAAUCGACCGCCUGGGGAGUACGGCCGCAAGGUUAAAACUCAAAUGAAUUGACGGGGGCCCGCACAAGCGGUGGAGCAUGUGGUUUAAUUCGAUGCAACGCGAAGAACCUUACCUGGUCUUGACAUCCACAGAACUUUCCAGAGAUGGAUUGGUGCCUUCGGGAACUGUGAGACAGGUGCUGCAUGGCUGUCGUCAGCUCGUGUUGUGAAAUGUUGGGUUAAGUCCCGCAACGAGCGCAACCCUUAUCCUUUGUUGCCAGCGGUUAGGCCGGGAACUCAAAGGAGACUGCCAGUGAUAAACUGGAGGAAGGUGGGGAUGACGUCAAGUCAUCAUGGCCCUUACGACCAGGGCUACACACGUGCUACAAUGGCAUAUACAAAGAGAAGCGACCUCGCGAGAGCAAGCGGACCUCAUAAAGUAUGUCGUAGUCCGGAUUGGAGUCUGCAACUCGACUCCAUGAAGUCGGAAUCGCUAGUAAUCGUAGAUCAGAAUGCUACGGUGAAUACGUUCCCGGGCCUUGUACACACCGCCCGUCACACCAUGGGAGUGGGUUGCAAAAGAAGUAGGUAGCUUAACCUUCGGGAGGGCGCUUACCACUUUGUGAUUCAUGACUGGGGUGAAGUCGUAACAAGUACCGAGG
rnacentral:rRNA from 1 species